ACGGGAGGCAGCAGUGGGGGAUAUUGCACAAUGGGGGAAACCCUGAUGCAGCGACGCCGCGUGAGUGAAGAAGUAUUUCGGUAUGUAAAGCUCUAUCAGCAGGAAAGAUAAUGACGGUACCUGACUAAGAAGCACCGGCUAAAUACGUGCCAGCAGCCGCGGUAAUACGUAUGGUGCAAGCGUUAUCCGGAUUUAUUGGGUUUAAAGGGUGCGUAGGCGGACUGACAAGUCAGGGGUGAAAGCCCGGUGCUCAACACCGGAACUGCCCUUGAUACUGCCAGCCUUGAAUUCGGAUGCCGUGGGAGGAAUGAGUAGUGUAGCGGUGAAAUGCAUAGAUAUUACUCAGAACACCGAUUGCGAAGGCAUCUCACGAAUCCGACAUUGACGCUGAGGCACGAAAGCGUGGGGAUCAAACAGGAUUAGAUACCCUGGUA
rnacentral:rRNA from 1 species